rnacentral:misc_RNA from 1 species
UACGUAGGUGGCGAACGUUAUCCGGAAUUACUGGGCGUAAAGGGUCCGUAGGCGGGAAAGCAGGUCGUGCGUGACAACGCUUGGCUCAACUAAGCGAGGCCGUGCGAAACCGCUUUUCUUGAAUGGUGACGAGGUCGGUGGAAUUCCCGGUGUAGUGGUGGAAUGCGUAGAUAUCGGGAGGAACCUCGAACGCGAAGGCAGCCGGCUAGUCACCGAUUGACGCUGAGGGACGAGAGCGUGGGGAGCGAACAGG